CUGGGUGUGCUUUACGGACAAGCGCACGACAAUGACGUAGAGAGCAUAGCAACCACCCUGGGAGGGCCUAUGAGCCAUAACAACCAGUUGACCAAUCAACACAGGGCAAGCCCUCCAAGCCUGGAGGCACACCAAUCCUGAGCCUGUGCGUACCCCUAGACACUCCCCUUACGCUGCCCUAUAAGAUCUUUUGGGAGCCCGUUGGAGCCGUCUUUUUCUAGCCGUCUGCCAUGGCGGGUGGGUGAAAGACCCGAGCUAACAUGGGGUUAGUUCGUUAAAUUACAAUAAAGCCUCGUGCAGUUUGCAGCAAGCUCUCGAAUCCGCCUGGUGAUUGGGGUGACCGCGAACCUGGCCUGAGACCCCGGAUACUUGAGUUUUCGGGGGUCUAACAUUUUGGGGGCUCGUCCGCGAUUUGCGACCACCCUUCACCUGAGUGGAUUCGAUCUUGGAGUUUAUAAUGUCAGACAGACUGCCAGAUCCGGACAGUGACCCAAAGUCUCCAAAGAAGAUUACGAGGCACCUCAGUUCCUGCACCUGGACCAGUGAGCGAGAUGCUCAGAUGUGAAACCUGCCGCCUGCCAGAACCUGGCCGAGAAUGUGGACAAAGCUGCUGGACACUGGAAAAUUGAUUGUACCCCUUUGCCUAGACAAAACAAGGUUUCUGCUUCUGGCUGACAUCUGAGUAUCAGUUGCUGACUACAGGCUGUUCUAAGUAGACUGCGAGCCCUAAACUUGCUGUGGAUGUGAACCAGUUCAGCUGAUAUGGACACCCCCUGUCUCUGCAACAGUGUCUGCUAACCAGAAGCCCCUGAUGAAUUCCCCAUUGCCUAAAUUCCUUUUUGCUUUUGACUAGCAUUUCAACCUUCUGGGGUCCCUAACUUCGUCCCAAAGUCAGCAGGAAGCAGUUUGGAAAAGAAUUUCGCCGUCCAUUUUCCCUGGUUAAAAUGCUAAGUCAAAAGGAACUCCCUUACAUGGGGAUGCCAAUAUCUAUCACUCCCUGAUGGGGAUGCUAGAGAGACAGCAAUUCCAUGAUUGGAAUUUCCAGAAAAGAAAAUGGGGGAAUGAAGGAACCGGCUUCCCUUUUGGCAGCCAUAAUGGUUAAACAUGUGCCUUUAUGACCUUGUCCUAGAAACCAGAAAGUCAGAUGCCUGUCUCGUGACAAGGAACCAAUCAGAAGUUAGCUGGUGGCGCUAUGCUUUACGACCCUGGGUGUGCUUUACGGACAAGCGCACGACAAUGACGUAGAGAGCAUAGCAACCACCCUGGGAGGGCCUAUGAGCCAUAACAACCAGUUGACCAAUCAACACAGGGCAAGCCCUCCAAGCCUGGAGGCACACCAAUCCUGAGCCUGUGCGUACCCCUAG
rnacentral:lncRNA from 1 species